rnacentral:rRNA from 1 species
AACGAACGCUGGCGGCAGGCUUAACACAUGCAAGUCGAGCGCCCCGCAAGGGGCGCGGCAGACGGGUGAGUAACGCGUGGGAAACUACCCAUCUUUACGGAAUAACGCAUGGAAACGUGUGCUAAUACCGUAUACGUCCUUCGGGAGAAAGAUUUAUCGGAGAUGGAUGAGCCCGCGUUGGAUUAGCUAUUUGGUGGGGUAAAGGCCUACCAAGGCGACGAUCCAUAGCUGGUCUGAGAGGAUGAUCAGCCACACUGGGACUGAGACACGGCCCAGACUCCUACGGGAGGCAGCAGUGGGGAAUAUUGGACAAUGGGCGCAAGCCUGAUCCAGCCAUGCCGCGUGAGUGAUGAAGGCCCUAGGGUUGUAAAGCUCUUUCACCGGUGAAGAUAAUGACGGUAACCGGAGAAGAAGCCCCGGCUAACUUCGUGCCAGCCGCCGCCGUAAAAC